GGGAUUGAACUCAGGACCUCUGGAAGAGCAAUUAGUGCGCAUAACUACUGAGCCAUCUCUCCAGCCCUCCUUAUGGCUUUUAAAUGCAUCCUUAAUUUUGGUUAGCCCAUCUCCACCCUUCCUCUAUCUUAUCCCCCUACCAACCCUUGUCCCUGACCCAAAUAAACCUUUGACCUACAGAAUCAUAACUGAUUGAGGUCCUGAGAAUAAAUGUCUCGUGAAAGCUUGUUCCUAAAUGAGACCUCUAUAUCAACCCUACCCCAAGGCUUAUGAAAGAACACAACAGCAAAAGAAUGGGAAAGAAUGUUCUAUAAUACUGUCUUCUAGACAUAAUGUGGCAACAUGACCUUGAACUCAUGAACUUGACACUAUGGUUACCUACACAAGAUCAAGCUCAUAAGACCAGUCAAUAUUUCAGUACAUAGCACUGAUUGGACUCAGUGGGGAAAAAUAGUGGAAAAGGCAUAAAGGUGGGGGUGUUAGGGGUGUCCAGGGAGGAUGGGAGAUAGGAGUUGGAGAUGGAUAUGGUCAAUGUAUUCAGGUAUAAAAUUAUCAAAUAAUAAAUUAAAGAAUUAUAAAAAAAGUAGGAGUCACUGACUCUAAACAUUUACUUCCUUUGUUUAGAUGUUUGUUUAGCACUUGUGAGACCAAAGGCAGAAUUAACAUGUAUCCAGUAUAUACCAGGUGCAAAGACAAUAUUUUUUAUUAGUAGCUCAUACAAAACAACAACAACAACAAAACCAACCUUAGCAGCCACCCUAAGAGGCAAGGAAGAUCAUUGUUCCCAAUUAUCUGGGAACCCAGGUCACAUUAGGCUUCCCUCCUGUGAGGUCUGGAUACCCCCACCCCCACCCCCACCCCUCUCUCUCCUCCCUCUCUUCCUCCUACUCCUCCCUCCUUGAUUCUCAUCCUCUUUCUGUCUCUUCAUAUAUAAAACAUGGUUUAAAAAAUAACAAUCCCCACACAGAGCUGGAAGCAUUGCUAGAGUGCCGCAGAGGUCAAGCUCCGGUGCCAGCACCAGAGUCAGAUGGCUCCCAAUGGGCUGCAACCGCCACUCCAGAGAACACAGUUCCCUCCCAGUGACUGUGCAGACACACCUGUACACACAAAGAGAGGGAGGGAUAAUCCCUUUAAAACUCUAGAUAAAGGCAAUUUGUCAUCAUUAAAAUGUGUGUGGGAGAGACAGAUGGGUAGACCAUCAUCUAUGAAUAUAAUUUGGGUGUUUGCUAGUCUUCUUACUGGCAUGAGUUUUUUGUUUGCUUUUUGUUAGUUUUGUGUGUGUGUGUGUGUCUGUAUGUGUGUGCGUGUGUGAGACAGAGAGAGAGAGAGAGAGAGAGAGAGAGAGAGAGAGAGAGAGAGAGAGAGACCUUGUACAUCUAAACAUCUAUUUUAGAAAAUCGUUUCAUGAGUAUUUACUUUGUGGCUUUAAAUGAGAAACUUGGGUGACACUAUCAAGUUUCUAAAGACUGAAAGCUCUUCCUGCUUUUGAAGUUGUUUUGUGGCAAAGGAUUGAUUCAUCCCACAGAGCCCCAGAGGACAAAGCUAGAAUUGGUAACUAGGAGCUUCAGAGACAGCAGUUAGCACAGCUGAAGAACAAGCUUCCUUUUAGUGACAGCAAUUGGAAGGCAGAGGGGAUGCUGGGAAGUGAUUAAUUCCCACAGCGACAGAAAGUUCUCUAGGAAAUGUUCUUUGGAGUUUGGACUAAAUGACCUUUCAGAGUCUAUAAAAGUGGGUUCUAAAUCCUGUUUGAUUAACUAUUAGCAGUCAAGGUCCUAAUACUGUCCUUUACAAAUCGGGGGCGUCUGUAGACAUUGCAGAUGAAUUGGAUAGUUGUCCAGAAUAAAGCUACAGAUCAGUGUAGUAAAUUAAAACCCAGUUCUUAAAACGCAAUGGAAAAACCCUUAUCCGGUCCCACUCAUCCCUGCCUCUCUUUAUGGCCAUGAAUGAACAGCUCAUCCACUGCAGAGAGUACAGACCGGGGGAUGAGUAAAACUGACGUCAUUAGCACCUGUGUGGGUGGAGAACAACCCAGGCAGAUGUUAAAUCUGCCGGAAUAAAAUGUUCCAUUUGCUGAUAACCUGAGGAACAGCAAGUGGGAUUAACCACCGAAGUCAAUGCGUAAGAGCUUGUCUGAACUGCUUCUCAAAUGAUCCUCAGAACACGGUUUUUUUUCCCUUUCUCAAAAAGAGGAUAAUAGAUAAGUCAAAUUGAUUUGUCAAAAUAUUUUCAGGAUGUAACUUUUCCAACAUUAUAAUCGAAACCUCCCAGUGUUAAAUAUCAGGAUGGUUCCAGAAGCAUCAGGCAAUGCAAUACACUUGUUUAAGCCGGUAAAGAGCCAUUGGAUGAGAAGCUAUGCACCUAUGAUGCCAGCACACAGGAGGCUGAGGCAAGAGGAGCAUAACAAGGCCAGCUUGAAUUGCAUACCGAGAUCGUGACGUAAGUAGGGUGGGGUAGACAAAGGUCAAAUAGAGUUUUCUGGGUCAUGUUGCUCGUGUAACCACUGGCUGGUAAGUAGCUCUUGGGAAGGCUGAGUCUACUGAGUAGACAAAGGUCAAAUAGAGUUUUCUGGGUCAUGUUGCACGUGUAACCACUGGCUGGUAAGUAGCUCUUGGGAAGGCUGAGUCUACUGGCUACCUCUCUUCAGCUGAUCAUUCCUCACCACAGCAUGCCAUUCCACACAGAAAUAUCCUUUAGUGAAUGUGUCCAAAGUUUCAACUGGGCUGACAGUACUGGGUUAAAAGUGUCUGUGCGUAUUAUUACACAUACAGACUUCCCAGCUCUGCUCCCAAUGACCAUUCUUGAGAAGGCCUCAGAAGGAAGGGGCCUGAGUACCAACAUUCUAUAAAGGGUCUAGAGAUGAUCUGCCAGGGUUGACAAGGAAUGAUUUGGGAAUUGACACCUGAAGUGUAGGGAUGAGGACUUCCAAGAUGGCAGCUGGCAAGUGGGAGUUUCAGCAUCCGAGAAUCAUUGGGACGAAGACUGAAGAAGAUGCUGUUCACUGUUCAAAAUUUUUGAUUUGAACUAAAUUAAGAAUUCCCUCAUAUUUGUUCUCCCCAAAUUACAGUACAUGAAGAUUUUACACUUUUAAGAAGUGUAUUCAAGAUGUUUGCACAGCAGAACAAAGGAGAUGCCACCAUGGCCACCCACAACUUUCCAGAGGCAUGUAUUACUACAGAUUCUUCUUUUCAAUCCUAAACAGACAGGAAGCCACUUCUUGCCAUCUCUUACAAUAAAGAUGAACAAAAUAUUGGGACAGAAAUAUAACAGUACCUGAGGUCCUGUAGCCUGGGCUCCCAGGGGUCCUGUAUACCAAGGUCACCCUCUUGUUCACAUUCAGACCAAGACCAGCCAGGACUACAUAAGACCCUGUACCCCCCAAACCAAACAGAAACAUGAGCUCUCAGAGGAGUUGUCAUGUGGCUACUGCAUGUAUUUGAGCCUUCCAUAAUCGAGAGCAGAGCAAGACAAAGAGUAGGAGAGGCUUUUCAAAUAGAAGGAAAAGGAGGGAGGUGGGAAGAAGUCAGGCAGGGAAAGAGAGAAACGCAAAACCAAACAGUCCAACACUUGUUCUUAUUCUUGGUUAUCCCAAGCACCUUGAGCAUCCACCCACCCAAAGGCAUUUACCAAAACCCCCUACAGUGUUGCUAAACUAUCCAGGCAAGAGAACACACUGCUCUUCUCAACUUUCAAUCCAGUGUUUAAAUUUUAAACAUACAUUAAAUAAUUAUGCACAGCAUUAUAUUUUUAAUGCUCUUGUAAAUAAGUUAUGAGUGAGUGUGGUUCUUUGUAGGGAUGCACAGUCGUACUCUUCUCUCACUGAAGUGCUCUCAAGGCUUAUCACUUAUCCCAGCAAUUCCAACUUUAUCUCUCACUCAGUACCCAGCUUCCUCUUUAUUUAUUUCUUCAGAGACGAAGGCAACACCAUUAGAAAACUGUUUUCCCAAUGAAGGAUAAGUUGUAAAAUGAAAAACAAAAUCUCACACAAGGCCAAGUAUAUUAAGUAAACAGAUUUAUGGUAACAUCAACAAAGGCCUAUGAUUCCUGAGAUUGCAAAAGCAUUGCACCUGUCCCUUCCUUUAAGGAUCUUGUAAUUGUAAUUUAAAGUAAAUUACAGAGAAAAUUAGGGGAUAUUGAAAUGUUUUGCUAACUGAAACUUAAACCACUUCAGUGAAAAAAUAGACAAUUUACUAAAACUAAUAUCAAUUGUUUGCAAUUGUAUGACUCCCUAAAAUCAACAUUAUCCCCAGACAUAAAGUGGUUACAUAAAAAUCACUAGUUUUGCUUUAAGGCUACUUAAGAUUCUUCUCUAUUGGAAUGAUUUGAGAUAUGGUGUCAAACAUUCUUAUUGAAAUGUUUCUUCUCUUUGUCUUUUUAUAGUAUCUCCCGAUAGAGCUCAGGCUCAUCUCCAGCAGCAAGCUGUCAGCAUUCAGCUUUAAAGUAUUUCUCUGUCUACCUUAUUUGACUGACUGCCUCUCACUGAACCUGAAGAUCACCGGUUCACCCAGACUACCUAGGCAGGAAGCCCCAGCUCCUCUCCCACAUCUGCUUUCUGAGAAUUGUGAUUACAGGCACAGGCCACCAGUGUUGUGGGUGAGUGCUGGGGAUUGAAGUCAGGUCCUCAUGUUUGUACACCUAGUACUUUCCUAACAGAGCCACCUCCAUAGCCCCAUUUAAAAUAUUUCUUUAUAAAAAUUAAUCCAUUAGCUAAUUAAUAUCUUUCUGGCUUCAAGAUUAAUAAUAAGAACCAUCAAACAGAUACCAAAAGUUUCCAAUUUUUUUCUAGCUGCCUUUUAAGUGUUGAGGAAAUAAAAAUAACUAUAGCUCAAAUUCAGCAUGAGAUAAGAAUUUCUCACUUGGGGAGAUAAUCAAAAGAUGUUCGGGAAAGUUCUGUAAGCCAAAAGAAACAAAUGAAAAGCCAUGUCAUGUCAGAGCUCUGAAAAUAGGAAACCCUGAUCCUCUUUCCCUCUGCACCAGUCAGCAAAACCUUGCUGUCUUCACGGUACUUCACACACAGAUCCCAUCUCCAACAAUCUUCUGUCGAUUCUUCGUCUUUCCUAAAGACAAUGAGUAUUCUUUUUUUUUUUUUACUUUUUUAUUUUUUUUUCCAUUUUUUUUUUUAUUUUUUAUUAUCUUGAGUAUUUCUUAUAUACAUUUCAAGUGUUAUUCCCUUUCCCGGUUUCCGGACAGACAUCACCCUCCCCCCUCCCCUUCCUUGUGGGUGUUCCCCUCCCAAACCUCCCCCCAUUGCCACCCUCCCCGCAUAGUCUAGUUCACUGGGGGUUCAGUCUUAGCAGGACCCAGGGCUUCCCCUUCCACUGGUGCUCUUACUAGGAUAUUCAUUGCUACCUAUGGGGACAGAGUCCAGGGUCAGUCCAUGUAUAGUCUUUAGGUAGUGGCUUAGUCCCUGGAAGCUCUGGUUGCUUGACAAUGAGUAUUCUUGAAAGAAGACAGCCACACACUCACAGACACGUCAGAACCCAAUGUUCCUUAAUCUUCGUCUCAUCUUCCUCCUCUUUAAACUGAUGGCAAAAUCAGACAGCGCAAUUUUGCCCUUGCAAAGAGGCACUGUGAUCUCGAAUCUAGAGUCUAGGAUUUGGUGUCAUUGUCCUAAUGGUUAAAUGUAUGCAGUGAGAUAUUCCAGAGAUUUCCAGUGUGCUUACCCAUUUAUUAAGCAUGAGCAUGCACAUACAUGAGCAUGUAGACAAACACACACAGACACACACACACACACACACACACAUACACACACACACACACAGUCUUAGUUAGGGUUUUACUGCUUUGAACAGACACCAUGACCAAGGUAACUCUUAUAAGGAGCUGACUUACAGGUUCAGAGGUUCAGGCCAUUAUCAUCAAGGUGGGAACAUGGCAGCACCCAGGCAGGCAUGGUGAAGGAGGAAUCAAGAGUUCUACAUCUACAUCUGAAGGCUGCUAGCAGAAUACUGACUUCCAGGCUGCUAAGAUGAGGGUCUUAAAGCCCACACCCACAGUGACACACCUACUCCAACAAGGCCACACCCCCUAAUAGUGCCACUCCUUGGGCCAAGCAAUUCAAACCAUCACACACACACACACACACACACACACACACACACACACACCCCUCAUGGUUAGAAACUGUCUCAUCUAUAUUUUACUGAUGAGCAACUCAAGGGCCCUUCGAGAUGCUGGGAAAUUAACAUCCCAUCCUCCCCAUGCACACCCAUUUGAGAACUUACUCAUAGUAUACUCAUAGUAGUAAAAGGACCCCAUAAGAUGUGGACCCACAGAAAAAGAACUUAACUCUUUGGUUUGGUUGGCUUUUGUGUCUUGAGACAUGGCUCACUUUGUAGUUCAAAUUAAAACUCACCAUGUGACUAGCUCAAGCGAGCCUUAAACCCACAACUCCUGGAAAAUAUGUUUGUUUGGUUGUUUUUGUUUUGUUUAUUCCUCAUGAGACAGAGACUCCUUCUGGAAACUUGAUCAGUCAAGAGUUUACUUUAUACCCCAGGUUGGCCUCAAACUCAAACCUAUUCUUUUGCCUUAACCACCAAGUGUUAACCACCAUGUCUGGCCUAUGCUCACAAUGUUUUACAAAAUCUUGUUCUAUAGUAAGAACAUGACAUUUCUGUUUGUCAUACAGUCUUCAAAUGUUUUCUCUAAACUUAUUUUUCUUUUUUUUUGUCAUGCAUUUUUUCACAUAGAAGCUCAUAAUUUGUUAAUGAAAACCAUCCAACUCUCUUCUUAAGUGGCAUCUGGGUCUUUUCUCUCUUUAAAAGAAAAAUUAAUCAAAUACAAGCAAAAUUUUUAUUGUAUUUUAAUUUUCAAAUUCACAACUUUGUGCCAGCAUGUAUGUGGGGCAGGGGUGACUGGAAGGAAGUCUGUUAUGCCAACUUCACUUUCCUGAUUUAGUUUUUCAGAGCAAGGGGACUGUUUAUAUAAUCUUUUAUGUAGUUCAGACUGGCCUCAAACUUACUCCUGUUUCUGCCUCCCAAGUACUGAGAGUGCAUAUGUAUAUGAAUGUGUGUUCGUGUAUACACACAUACACACACACACACACACACACACACACACACACAUGCACACGCACACGCACACGCACACACCUAGCUGUCCUCUCUGAAUUCAAAUUUGACUUUUACCAUGAAUUAGAUGUUUACAUACACUUCAGCCUGUUUCUAGAUUUUAUGCUACCAGUUGCUGCUUUAUUAAAAAAAAAAAUGUGAUCCUGCUAUUGGAUCACAAUAUUUUAAGGUUUUCCUUUUCUUAAAAAGAAAGAAAGAAAAAAAAUGUUUACAUUACAUGUCAGAUCCUGGAGACCAGAAGAGGGUAUUGGGUCCUCUGGAUCUGGAGUUAAAGGCAAAUAUGAGCUGUUUGAUACUGGUGCUGGGAACUGAACUUGGGUCCUCUGGAAGAAGAGCAAAUGCCCUUAACCACUGAGCUAUCUCUUCAGUCCUAUGACAAAAGAAUGUAAGUACACUUUAAUAGCUAGUAGGACUAGUACUCCAUUAUAAGUGCCCUUUGUCGUAAUUUCUUUCUUUAAAAUUGUUUCAUUUGUCAUUUCAAAUGCACAUGAAAAUACUUUCCCAAAUGAAAGCAUGCAAGCCUGAAUUUUUGUGACCCUUUUAGAAAAUUUGCAAUUUUCAUGGUUUUAAGCCUGUGAACUAAAUUUCCAUUUCUUCAUGUAUGUUAAUGAAGCAUAUAACUCUUUACAAAGGAUGUAGGUAAUGCCAAAAAUUAGCCUGUAAACCCCGCCUGCCCAGGAGCUGGGGUGUUUCCUAGAAUCCUAGAAAUCAUAGUUUUUGGAAAAUAACAAAGCUUCAUGGGAAAGUGAGGUAGCCUAUAGGUUUGUCCUUAGAAGCCCUGGCAGCACAUGACUGGGAGCCAUUGCCAGCUGGGAAAUUCCAAGGAUUGGUCCUGAUCAAAGUCCAUUUCUUGGUCAGUACUUAAAAUUUAAUAAAGCUUGGUUGAAAUUUUUGCC